rnacentral:rRNA from 1 species
UACGUAGGCAGCGAGCGUUGUUCGGAAUUACUGGGCGUAAAGAGUGUGUAGGCGGUGCUCCCAGUCUGUUGUGAAAUCUCCCGGCUUAACUGGGAGGGUGCAGCGGAAACUAGAGUGCUAGAGGGUGGAGAGGUAAGCGGAAUUCCUGGUGUAGCGGUGAAAUGCGUAGAUAUCAGGAGGAACACCUGUGGUGUAGACAGCUUACUGGACCACUUCUGACGCUGAGACACGAAAGCGUGGGGUAGCAAACAGG